AUUGAACGCUGGCGGCAGGCCUAACACAUGCAAGUCGAGCGGAGCGGCGGACGGGUGAGUAAUGCCUAGGAAUCUGCCUGGUAGUGGGGGAUAACGUCCGGAAACGGGCACUAAUACCGCAUACUCUCAGAUGAGCCUAGGUCGGAAUAGCUAGUUGGUGGGGUAAAGGCCUACCAAGGCGACGAUCCGUAACUGGUCUGAGAGGAUGAUCAGUCGCACUGGAACUGAGACGCGGUCCAGACUCCUACGGGACGCAGCAGUGGGGAAUAUUGGGCAAUGGGCGAAAGCCGGGUCCAGCCAUGCCGCGUGUGUGAAGAAGGUCUUCGGAUUGUGAAGCACUUUAAGUUGGGAGGCGUUACCAACAGAAUAAGCACCGGCUAACUUCGUGCCAGCAGCCGCGGUAAUUC
rnacentral:rRNA from 1 species